UACAGAGGGGGCAAGCGUUGUUCGGAAUUACUGGGCGUAAAGGGCGCGUAGGCGGCCUUCUAAGUCGAACGUGAAAUCCCCGGGCUCAACCCGGGAACUGCGUCCGAUACUGGAAGGCUUGAAUCCGGGAGAGGGAUGCGGAAUUCCAGGUGUAGCGGUGAAAUGCGUAGAUAUCUGGAGGAACACCGGUGGCGAAGGCGGCAUCCUCGGACCAACACUGACACUGAUGAGCGAAAGCCAGGGGAGCAAACGGG
rnacentral:rRNA from 1 species